AGAGAAGGCAUAUAAUCGUGUCUUCUUCCUCACUGAAGCAAAAAAGAGUGCGUUGAAUAAGCUUCACACCUUCUUAAUACUUCUUCUCGCUGUGUAUUUGCUUCAUCUUGAGCGUUGACGGUACCAACCAAUACGGAUGUCGAAAGAGGGAUCGGAGUUCCGUAUUAAGCGGGACAGAACCUGUACCAGGAAGGAAUCGUGACGCCGAACGCUAUCUAUGGAGAUCCGUUGGGUGCUCUGAUCCAUCAAACGAUAUAUCUAUUAUCGCUAUUGGUUGAUGAUGUCUGGUGAUGGAACCGCCACAGUGGAAGCAACCAAGCUUCGCACUCCCUGCUUGAUAAAAUGCACUUUUUUCUUCUUCUUGUUAAAUAUUGCAUGUGAAGUUGAGUCGUUCUGUUGCAUCGUGCAUGUACCGAACUAAACUGAAAGAUUAAGAAUCACACCUAUAAAAUGUGUGUUAAACGGAGUAUAUACAAUUGUCUAGUGAUUCAUCAAUUGAACAGUCCAUGUCUCGACU